AUGGUAUAAGCAGAAAUGCUGUGUAAGGUUGAACCAGAUCUCCUCCGGAAGUUGUUCUAACUUGCCACUGGAUGUCAAACUGACUGCAGGCCAGUUCCAUGAUCUGAUGGAGAGUGUAUAAAGCAUGGGGGAAUCGGUCUCUCUUGCAGGUUUUGCAGGAUCUAAGGAGGAAUAAAAAUGCAAGAAACAAUGGGAGAGCUGGUGGGAGUUAUUAUUGUGGGAUGGGAGAAGGGCAGGAUUAAAAAAAUAGUGCGUUGCAAGGCUCUAAUCUGGAUCUCAUUUUAUCUGCACUCCCAAAUUCAUGGAGUCUCAGAUAAAUGAUUCUGGUUUGUCCAGUCUCUGAAAAUACUGUUUUCUUUUUUUAAUCCAUGCGGCAAACAAUUUCAUAUCUUCCUCUCCUGCCUCAGGCUACUGAAAAGAAUUGAAAUGAACAUGAUGUUUUGCAUUUAAAAGGACAACAGCCAUGAUCCCAAUUCUGACCUCCACUUUCUCUUCCUUAUUUAGUAGCUGUCUGCAAAGUCAGUGUAACUCUUUAUGUGUGUCAAGUAUCAGAGGGGUAGCCGUGUUAGUCUGGAUCUGUAAAAGCGGCAAAG